UCUGUACUCAUGAGAGGCAGCCUACAGA
rnacentral:piRNA from 1 species